GACAGAGGCCUCGAGCGUUAGGCGGAAUCACUGGGCUUAAAGGGCGCGUAGGCGGGCUCACAAGUCAGGGGUGAAAGCCCACGGCUCAACCGUGGAAGUGCCUUUGAUACUGUGGGUCUGGAGGGAGGUAGGGGCGUGCGGAACUUCCGGUGGAGCGGUGAAAUGCGUAGAUAUCGUAAGGAAGACCAGUGGCGAAGGCGGGUCUCUGGACAGUUCCUGACGCUGAGGCACGAAGGUCAGGGGAGCAAACGGG
rnacentral:rRNA from 1 species